UACGAAGGGGGCUAGCGUUGCUCGGAAUCACUGGGCGUAAAGGGCGCGUAGGCGGCGUUUUAAGUCGGGGGUGAAAGCCUGUGGCUCAACCACAGAAUGGCCUUCGAUACUGGGACGCUUGAGUAUGGUAGAGGUUGGUGGAACUGCGAGUGUAGAGGUGAAAUUCGUAGAUAUUCGCAAGAACACCGGUGGCGAAGGCGGCCCGCUGGACAUGUAUUGACGCUGAGGUGCGAAAGCGUGGGGAGCAAACAGG
rnacentral:rRNA from 1 species